AGUGUUUAUAGGCGCUCACGGCCAGCAAUAACAGGUUCGAGUGGCCAGGGUGGCUCUGUGACUUUUUCAUCUUCCACGCUAACUUAAACACGAGAAGAAACGGCUUUCCAGGCCGGGCUGGCCGCGCGGCCGCGGAGAUGAAGUGCGUUCGUCAUAAUUCAUAGGCUUCUCCUCUCUUCCCGCUGCUCCGGAAUCACGCUCCGCCAUUAAAAUGCAUUGUGGCCGCCUGGCCGGUGGGGCCUCUACUCGUUCCCAGGGCCAGCAGGGAUGGGCGCACAGACACAGGGGCUCUGGGCCGCCACCCCCGCCCCGCCCCUGCUGGACACGCCGGGCACUGCAGGAGCCUGGCUCCUGACAAGGGGGCGGGGCUUGCCCUAGAGCCACCGUUCCCUCCUUCACGGCAGGCCUGCCACCAGCCCCUGGCGGUAGUCACACCAGGUCGUUCUGUGGGCCCUUCUGCUCUCGGGACGCUGCCUGGGGGUGUGCUGUCCCCAGCUCGAGAGAGCACAGGACCCAAAAUCAAGAUCAGAUAUCUCCUCCAAGUGGCACAAGAUGAACGAAGUGUCAACUCUGGGUCCCGGCGGCCUCUGCCCUGCCGCGGAGAUGGUCAAGAAUAGCUCCCACAUAACGGGCGUCUGGAAAGCUCCAGGAGCAGGUGCUCCUGGGUCCCCACCCAAGCUCCCACUGGGCACGCCCUCCCACCCAGGCACCCAUCGAUCUGCCAAACGACCACCCGCUCG
rnacentral:lncRNA from 1 species